GACGAACGCUGGCGGCGUGCUUAACACAUGCAAGUCGAACGGGUCUGCCCUGUUUUUUGCGGGGUGGGUCAGUGGCGAACGGGUGAGUAACACGUGAGUAACCUGCCCCUCACUUCUGGAUAACCGCUUGAAAGGGUGGCUAAUACGGGGUGUUCUGGCUGUGCCGCAUGGUGUGGCUGGGAAAGAUUCACUUUUGUGGUGUUUUGGUGGGGGAUGGGCUCGCGGCCUAUCAGCUUGUUGGUGGGGUGAUGGCCUGCCAAGGCUUUGACGGGUAGCCGGCCUGAGAGGGUGGGCGGUCACACUGGGACUGAGAUACGGCCCAGACUCCUGCGGGAGGCAGCAGUGGGGGGUAUUGCACAAUGGGCGGAAGCCUGAUGCAGCGACGUCGCGUGAGGGAUGGAGGCCUGCGGGUUGUGAACCUCUUUCGCCGGUGAAGAAGGUCCUGCUCUUUGUGGGGGGGUUGACGGUAGCCGGGUUAUGAAGCGCCGGCUAACUACGUG
rnacentral:rRNA from 1 species